CCUACGGGUGGCAGCAGUGAGGAAUAUUGGUCAAUGGCCGAAAGGCUGAACCAGCCACGCCGCGUGAAGGACGAAGGUUCUAAGCAUUGUAAACUUCUGUUGUCAAGGGGCAAAUUCAGACGCGAGUGCCUGACGGAGAGUACUGGACGAAAAAGCAUCGGCUACCUCCGUGCCAGCAGCCGCGGUAAUACGGAGGAUGCAGGCGUUCUCCGGAUUUAUGGGGUUAAAGGGGUGGGUGGCGGGUCUGAAAGGUGAGCGGGAAAGGCCCGGGGCUCACCCCCGGCGAGCCGUUGAAACUGGCUGUCUAGAGAUGUGGAGGGGUAUGCGGAAUGCGCAGUGUAGCGGUGAAAUGCUUAGAGAUCGCGCAGAACACCGAUUGCGAAGGCAGCAUACCGGCCGCGAUCUGACGCUGAGGCACGAAAGCGUGGGGAGCGAACAGGAUUAGAUACCCUGGUAGUC
rnacentral:rRNA from 1 species